CCGACAGAUUACAGUAAUAACAAUUAUCCCUCUGUGUUUACAGCUCUAUUCCAGCUAAUUUGAGUUUUAAAGCCAAGCUUGUGGAGGAUUGUUGACACGUUGACGAGUCCCCGACCAACAACGUCCCCGCCGGGGAUCCCUCCUUACCGGUAAGGGCUGGUGACAACCGAAGAAGACACAACACAUCCGGUUCUCUCAGAAAUCGUGAAAAUACAAGUUGAAGGUAGAAGCAAUCGUAGACAGUGAACAAUAUACGGUGCCCCUAAAAACUAUAAAAAUUCUUGGAAAAUUUCUCUCAACUUUUUCUUCAAUUAAAUUGAUUUUCCGAGUCCACUAAUCCUUUUUCUGAAAAGUUCAGUUUGAUUUUCAGAGGGGAGUAUUCUUUAUCUAUUUGAAGUUCUGUAAUCUUUGUUUAAAAACGGAGAUAUUGAGAUUUUGAGUCAAUGACAGCCUUUUCACUUCGUCCGACCUUCUCACGAAAGACAAUUUUGAUGGAUAUCAUUGAGGUACACAAUACUGCUUUUAUAAAUUUUUACGAAUUGAUAUUUGUUGUUGGUUUCGAAUUUUCACAGAUUCUGUUUGUGCAAAACAUUAUCUUUUGAAAGAUAGAAUCCCCAAAUUUAUCAGAAAGUUCUAAAAAACCGUCUUAUCCAAACAUUGUACUUUACACUGACAUAAUACAGUCUUUCUAAAUAUGCAAAAGCUAAUUUAAUUACCCGAAUUGUGUUGUAAGGCCCAACUUAUCAUGAAUGCAAAAUUUGUUUUUCCGCUCCCCUCUAAGGUGCAAACUAUGAAAAUUUUUCUAGAAAAUUCAUGUUAAAGUGCGAAAAAUAUUCACUGCGAAAUGAUUCGUUAAUUUCCUCUGCGUGUGAAGGUUUUUGAUACCAAUAAACAUAAAAAUCCCUCAGUAUCCACAAGAAUUUAAUGAACACCAUCUCGAUAUCAUUUGAUUAAUAAUGAAAUAUUGAAUGAAUCCAAUUGAACGCAUGAUCAUUAUAUUUCAGAAUACAUGUCACUUACGUCUACAAUCAACUAUCAUCCUCUUCACACUCGCAAAUUUUUUCAAAAAUUUCGAAGCUUCAAAAAUUUUAUUCAAUAAUUUAAACCUUGCUCCUUCAUAAUUUAAUUGGAUUAAUCAAUGAAUGAGUAAGUUUGGUGAUGUCGUGAUGCUGAUUAUGUCAAUUUCACAAAUAUUAUUAUUGGCUUAGUUGAGUGAAAUGAUUUAAGUUGAUAAAUGGCAGGGGGGAAAAAUGAAUGAUAAGAUGAUGAAAAAUAUUAAAUCACUUAAUGGAACAUUAGGGAUGUGUUUAUGUGUGAUGAUUGACUAAAAUUAAAUCCCUCUUCACAUUUUCACCCCUUACAUUCUUAUAACGGCACUAAAAGUCUACAAUUUUGUGGGUUUUCUUUUUAAAUAACGAAGAAUGUACAAUUAUCUAAGCAAACUUUAUAAAUCACCGUUUUUUCAUCAACUUUUUAGGGAAAAUAUUGAUAGUUAUAAAAUUGAUGAAAAAAUUAAAAAAUUGAAAUUAUCCUAGUUUUUUUUUUACAGAAUUUUCAUUUUAAAUGAUUUCCUUGUAUAUGUGGAGUGUUCACUCGUUUAAUUGAGCCACAAUGUUUAACACAGAAAGAAAAAAUAAAAA